GAUGAACGCUGGCGGCGUGCUUAACACAUGCAAGUCGAACGGUGAAGGCGGAGCUUGCUCUGCUGGAUCAGUGGCGAACGGGUGAGUAACACGUGAGCAAUCUGCCCCUGACUCUGGGAUAAGCGCUGGAAACGGCGUCUAAUACUGGAUACGAGCUGCGAAGGCAUCUUCAGCAGCUGGAAAGAAUUUCGGUCAGGGAUGAGCUCGCGGCCUAUCAGCUUGUUGGUGAGGUAAUGGCUGACCAAGGCGUCGACGGGUAGCCGGCCUGAGAGGGUGACCGGCCACACUGGGACUGAGACACGGCCCAGACUCCUACGGGAGGCAGCAGUGGGGAAUAUUGCACAAUGGGCGAAAGCCUGAUGCAGCAACGCCGCGUGAGGGACGACGGCCUUCGGGUUGUAAACCUCUUUUAGCAGGGAAGAAGCGAAAGUGACGGUACCUGCAGAAAAAGCGCCGGCUAACUACGUG
rnacentral:rRNA from 1 species